rnacentral:rRNA from 11 species
GUUUACGGCCAUAUCACGUUGAAAACGCCAGUUCUCGUCCGAUCACUGAAGCUAAGCAACGUCGAGCCUGGUUAGUACUUGGAUGGGUGACCGCCUGGGAAUACCAGGUGCUGUAGACU